UACGUAGGGUGCGAGGCGUUGUCCGGAAUUAUUGGGCGUAAAGGGCUCGUAGGCGGUCUGUCGCGUCGGGAGUGAAAACUCAGGGCUUAACCCUGAGCCUGCUUCCGAUACGGGCAGACUAGAGGUAUGCAGGGGAGAACGGAAUUCCUGGUGUAGCGGUGAAAUGCGCAGAUAUCAGGAGGAACACCGGUGGCGAAGGCGGUUCUCUGGGCAUUACCUGACGCUGAGGAGCGAAAGUGUGGGGAGGCGAACAGG
rnacentral:rRNA from 1 species